rnacentral:tRNA from 1 species
GGAGAGAUGGCUCAGUGGUUAAGAGCACUGACUGCUAUUGUAGAGGACCUGGGUUCAGUUCCCAGCACCUUCA